ensembl:ncRNA C16E9.21 ncRNA
CCUCCUUCCUUUUUUUCUCAUUCUUUUUAUUUUGCUUCUCAAUUCCAUUCGCCCCAUUCUUUUCUUUUGAUGUGCAGAUUUUGGUAAGACGAAGUGAAGAAGGAGAAGGAAAGGGGAGGGGGUCCCUCCAAUUUUCAAAAUUGGCAUUCUCAGCCUACAUUUGCCAGUGCCGGCUUUGUCAUUGUCUUCUUCCUCGUCGUUCGGUAGAGAGAAGAAAAUCUUCAACUUCGACUUUUUUGCAUCCGCCAUCCACGUAUUCUGGAUUAGAAGUGACUAUUCGUAAUGCAGGCCGGAGUUUUAUUGUUGUUCGGCUCGUAAAAUGGUUUAGUGCAUGCACGACGAGGUGCAGUCCAACUCUAGUACACUUAUUCUGGAUAACAUUCU